AGGUUAAGUUGUUAAGGGCGCACGGUGGAUGCCUUGGCACUAGGAGCCGAUGAAGGACGGUACUAACACCGAUAUGCUUCGGGGAGCUGUAAGUAAGC
rnacentral:rRNA from 1 species